rnacentral:rRNA from 1 species
GACGAACGCUGGCGGCGUGCUUAACACAUGCAAGUCGUACGGUAAGGCCCUUUCGGGGGUACACGAGUGGCGAACGGGUGAGUAACACGUGAGUAACCUGCCCACAACUUUGGGAUAACGCUAGGAAACUGGUGCUAAUACUGGAUAUGUGCUCCUGCUGCAUGGUGGGGGUUGGAAAGCUCCGGCGGUUGUGGAUGGACUCGCGGCCUAUCAGCUUGUUGGUGGGGUAGUGGCCUACCAAGGCGGCGACGGGUAGCCGGCCUGAGAGGGUGACCGGCCACAUUGGGACUGAGAGACGGCCCAGGCUCCUACGGGUGGCAGCAGGGGGGAAUAUUGCACAAUGGGCGCAAGCCUGAUGCAGCAACGCCGCGUGCGGGAUGACGGCCUUCGGGUUGUAAACCGCUUUCAGCAGGGACGAAGCUUUUUGUGACGGUACCUGCAGAAGAAGCACCGGCUAACUACGUG